CCUACGGGAGGCAGCAGUGAGGAAUAUUGGUCAAUGGGCUUACGCCUGAACCAGCCAAGUCGCGUGAGGGAAGACUGCCCUAUGGGUUUUAAACCUCUUUUGUCAGGGAGCAAUUGGCGCUACGUGUAGCGUUAUCGAUAGUACCUGAAGAAAAAGCAUCGGCUAACUCCGGGCCAGCAGCCGGGCUAAUACGGGGGUUGCGAGCGUUAUCCGGAUUACUUGGGUUAAAAGGGUGCGUAGGCGGAAUGCGAAGUCAGCGUGAAAAUCCCGGGGCUAAACCUCCAACCGCCGUGGAAACUGGCGAUAUAGAGUGGGCGAGAAGUGGGCAGAAUGCGUGGGGUAGCGGUGAAAUGCGUAGAUAUCACGCAGAACUCCGAUUGCGAAGGCAGCAUACCGGCGCCCAACUGACGCUGAAGCACGAAAGCGUGGGUAUCGAACAGGAUUAGAUACCCCGGUAGUC
rnacentral:rRNA from 1 species